CGCAAGAUUAAAACUCAAAUGAAUUGACGGGGGCCCGCACAAGCGGUGGAGCAUGUGGUUUAAUUCGAUGCAACGCGAAGAACCUUACCUACUCUUGACAUCCAGAGAACUUUUCAGAGAUGAAUUGGUGCCUUCGGGAACUCUGAGACAGGUGCUGCAUGGCUGUCGUCAGCUCGUGUUGUGAAAUGUUGGGUUAAGUCCCGCAACGAGCGCAACCCUUAUCCUUGUUUGCCAGCGAGUAAUGUCGGGAACUCCAGGGAGACUGCCGGUGAUAAACCGGAGGAAGGUGGGGACGACGUCAAGUCAUCAUGGCCCUUACGAGUAGGGCUACACACGUGCUACAAUGGCGCAUACAGAGGGCAGCCAACUCGCGAGAGUGAGCGAAUCCCAAAAAGUGCGUCGUAGUCCGGAUUGGAGUCUGCAACUCGACUCCAUGAAGUCGGAAUCGCUAGUAAUCGUAGAUCAGAAUGCUACGGUGAAUACGUUCCCGGGCCUUGUACACACCGCCCGUCACACCAUGGGAGUGGGCUGCAAAAGAAGUGGGUAGUUUAACCUUCGGGAGGACGCUCA
rnacentral:rRNA from 1 species